rnacentral:rRNA from 1 species
GAAGCGGCAAGAGCUCAAAUUUGAAAUCUGGCCCCUCCGGGGUCCGAGUUGUAAUUUGCAGAGGAUGCUUCGGGUGCGGUCCCCGUCUAAGUACCCUGGAACGGGUCGUCAUAGAGGGUGAGAAUCCCGUCUGGGACGGGUGGCCGCGUCCGUGUGAAGCUCCUUCGACGAGUCGAGUUGUUUGGGAAUGCAGCUCUAAAUGGGUGGUAAAUUUCAUCUAAAGCUAAAUAUUGGCCGGAGACCGAUAGCGCACAAGUAGAGUGAUCGAAAGAUGAAAAGCACUUUGAAAAGAGAGUUAAACAGCACGUGAAAUUGUUGAAAGGGAAGCGCUUGCGACCAGACUCGCCCGCGGGGGUUCAGCCGGUACUCGUACCGGUGUACUCCCCCGCGGGCGGGCCAGCGUCGGUUUGGGCGGCCGGUCAAAGGCCCCCGGAAUGUAUCGCCCUUCGGGGCGUCUUAUAGCCGGGGGUGCAAUGCGGCCAGCCUGGACCGAGGAACGCGCUUCGGCUCGGACGCUGGCGUAAUGGUC